UACGGAAGGCAGCAGUGGGGAAUAUUGCACAAUGGGCGCAAGCCUGAUGCAGCCAUGCCGCGUGUAUGAAGAAGGCCUUCGGGUUGUAAAGUACUUUCAGCGGGGAGGAAGGCGAUGCGGUUAAUAACCGCGUCGAUUGGCGUUACCCGCAGAAGAAGCACCGGCUAACUCCGUGCCAGCAGCCGCGGUAAUACGGAGGGUGCAAGCGUUAAUCGGAAUUACUGGGCGUAAAGCGCACGCAGGCGGUCUGUUAAGUCAGAUGUGAAAUCCCCCGGGCUUAACCUGGGAACUGCAUUUUGAAACUGGCAGGCUUGAGUCUUGUAGAGGGGGUAGAAUUCCAGGUGUAGCGGUGAAAUGCGUAGAGAUCUGGAGGAAUACCGGUGGCGAAGGCGGCCCCUGGGACAAAGACUGACGCUCAGGUGCGAAAGCGUGGGGAGCAAACAGGAUUAGAUACC
rnacentral:rRNA from 1 species